ensembl:lncRNA
AAUUACCUUGCAGACUAUGCAAGCAAGAAAACAAAAACAAACAAAUAAUAAAUAAAUAAAUAAUAUAUGUAAUGUAAAUUAACAUUACCUUACAGACUAUAUAAAUAAAUACAUAUAUCACUAAAUAAUAAUAAUAAUAAUAAUAAUAAUAAUAAUAAACUGCACAAUAAAUGCAUUUAUUUUUAUAAUUUAAGAUUACCUUACAGACUAUAUAAUAAAUAAAACAAACAAACAAACAAACAAACAAAAAUGCUUAGUACACAAGUAGCACAAUUCACUAAAUAAACAAAUAUAUCACCAAACAAACAAAUAUUGAAAAAACAACAACAACAACCAACUAACCAAAGAGAAACACAAGCCACAUGGCUAUGAUUGUGUGUUGUUUAUAAGUUUUGUAACUUGCUAAAUGUUUUCACUGAAGUAGUAUCCAAGAUGGGCCCUAGAAACCCCACUGCAACACCCCGGCAACAUCACAACAGCCUAUCCUACCCUCAACAUCUCUGACGUAAAAACCAGCAAUGGUUGUUCACACACAAAGAGAUGCAUUAAAGAAAUCUGAUGCACCUCUUUUCUGCUUUUUACCAACAGAACAGAUCUUUCUGUGCCAUAUAUAAUAAAUAAAGACACAAAAACCAUGAGCAUGUCCUGCCCAGCAACCCUUUCCCAGAAGAACACCUCAGAUCAACUAAAUCAAACGUCCGGAGAGAAUCACAAAGGAGCAGCGGGAUCCGUUGAGACAGAGACACAGAAGCUACUCUAUUUACAAAGACUGUUUGAAAACACAAACAAUAGCAGGACGGCCUGACUUCAUAACCCUCUUCUAAUGAGAGGAACUUUGGAGGUUCUCAUGGAACGCCUCUGUCUUUAGCUCAACCCCCUCAGAGGCCAGGAAGCACAGAGGGUAUAAAAGAUCUGAGAGCAGCUCCACUCAGGCUUCAGACCUGCAUCACCUGCGCCAAUCUCAUACUGCAUUUCAGUGCUAUUGCAAUGCUGUCCCGGACGCUGGUUGCUCCGUUGAUCUUUGCAUUAGUGGGUGUCUCUAUUUCUGCACCAAUAAACGAUGGAAAAGAUAAUGAUGAGGCAGCUGCAGCCCUAGGGAUACUCAAUGAUCCAACUUCUCUCCCUGGAAAUGGAAUCUCAGGUUGGUCUGGGUGAUAUAGAUCACAUCUCACUGUAAAAUGUGUUAUAUAAACUGUGGAAACUAGUGUAAACCAAAAUUAAAACAAUUCUUUAAAAAUAUUAUUAAAUAUGUUAUAAAAUCAUUAAAAGAAAUAAAGCUGAAAUAAAUUAAAAAAUACAUAAAUAUUAGAUGAAACUUAAAAAAACAUAAAUAUUAGAAAUAAUAGAAUAAAGUACUAAAAUGACUAAAACUGAAAUAAAUAAAAAAUAAACAAAAUAAUAUUUAAAAGUCCAAUAACAUGGACAUGAACUUAAUUUGAAUGUCAAGAUUUAGACAGAUAGCGUUGUUAGUGUUAACAAAAACUAAUAAAUAUUAUUAAAAAUAUUAUUAAAAACUAUUAAAACAUUUUCAUUAAUUGAUAUUAAGCUAAAACAAUAUCAAAUAACAAAUAUUAGAUGAAAAACUUCAAAUUAAAAAAUAAAUAAAUUAGAAAUAUUGCCUUGGCCACUAAAUGAAAUAAAAUUUGAAGUACUGAAAUGUCUAAAACUGAAAUAAAUUAAAGCUAAAUAUAAUAUUAAAAACACUAAUAAAAAUGAUAAGGGUGCAUGAAAAAGGACUAAAACAUAUUAACUUAAUUAAAACCUAAAUGAAAACCUAAAUUAGAAAUGUUGCUGUUUUUAAAGUUUAAUUUAAAAUUAAAAUUGCUAAAAUAAAAAAUAAAACAUAGAAAUAUAUUUAAAAAAAAACGACAAAAGCACAUAACAAAAUUAAUAAAACUAAAAUUAAAAUAAC